AGAGCGAACGCUGGCGGCAGGCUUAACACAUGCAAGUCGAGCGGAUGUAGCAAUACAUCAGCGGCAGACGGGUGAGUAACACGUGGGAACGUACCUUUUGGUUCGGAACAACACAGGGAAACUUGUGCUAAUACCGGAUAAGCCCUUACGGGGAAAGAUUUAUCGCCGAAAGAUCGGCCCGCGUCUGAUUAGCUAGUUGGUGAGGUAAUGGCUCACCAAGGCGACGAUCAGUAGCUGGUCUGAGAGGAUGAUCAGCCACAUUGGGACUGAGACACGGCCCAAACUCCUACGGGAGGCAGCAGUGGGGAAUAUUGGACAAUGGGCGCAAGCCUGAUCCAGCCAUGCCGCGUGAGUGAUGAAGGCCCUAGGGUUGUAAAGUCCUUUUAACGGGGAAGAUAAUGACGGUACCCGUAGAAUAAGCCCGGCUAACUUCGCGCCAGCAGCCGC
rnacentral:rRNA from 1 species